GGAUGAACGCUGGCGGUAUGCUUAACACAUGCAAGUCGAACGGUGUCUUCGGACACAGUGGCGGACGGGUGAGUAACGCGUGAGAAUCUGGCUCUAGGUCUGGGACAACCACUGGAAACGGUGGCUAAUACCGGAUGUGCCGAGAGGUGAAAGGUUAACUGCCUGGAGAUGAGCUCGCGUCUGAUUAGCUAGUAGGUGUGGUAAAGGCGCACCUAGGCGACGAUCAGUAGCUGGUCUGAGAGGACGAUCAGCCACACUGGGACUGAGACACGGCCCAGACUCCUACGGGAGGCAGCAGUGGGGAAUUUUCCGCAAUGGGCGAAAGCCUGACGGAGCAAUACCGCGUGAGGGAGGAAGGCUCUUGGGUCGUAAACCUCUUUUCUCAGGGAAGAACACAAUGACGGUACCUGAGGAAUAAGCAUCGGCUAACUCCGUGCCAGCAGCCGCGGUAAUACGGAGGAUGCAAGCGUUAUCCGGAAUGAUUGGGCGUAAAGCGUCCGCAGGUGGCUAUGUAAGUCUGCUGUUAAAGAGUCUAGCUCAACUAGAUAAGAGCAGUGGAAACUACAUGGCUAGAGUACGUUCGGGGCAGAGGGAAUUCCUGGUGUAGCGGUGAAAUGCGUAGAGAUCAGGAAGAACACCGGUGGCGAAGGCGCUCUGCUAGGCCGUAACUGACACUGAGGGACGAAAGCUAGGGGAGCGAAUGGGAUUAGAUACCCCAGUAGUCCUAGCCGUAAACGAUGGAUACUAGGCGUGGCUUGUAUCGACCCGAGCCGUGCCGUAGCUAACGCGUUAAGUAUCCCGCCUGGGGAGUACGCCGGCAACGGUGAAACUCAAAGGAAUUGACGGGGGCCCGCACAAGCGGUGGAGUAUGUGGUUUAAUUCGAUGCAACGCGAAGAACCUUACCAAGGCUUGACAUGUCGCGAAUCUUCUUGAAAGGGAAGAGUGCCUUCGGGAGCGCGAACACAGGUGGUGCAUGGCUGUCGUCAGCUCGUGUCGUGAGAUGUUGGGUUAAGUCCCGCAACGAGCGCAACCCUCGUUUUUAGUUGCCAGCAUUAAGUUGGGCACUCUAGAGAGACUGCCGGUGACAAACCGGAGGAAGGUGGGGAUGACGUCAAGUCAGCAUGCCCCUUACGCCUUGGGCUACACACGUACUACAAUGCUCCGGACAGAGGGCAGCAAGCAUGCGAAUGCAAGCAAAUCCCGUAAACCGGAGCUCAGUUCAGAUCGCAGGCUGCAACUCGCCUGCGUGAAGGAGGAAUCGCUAGUAAUUGCAGGUCAGCAUACUGCAGUGAAUUCGUUCCCGGGCCUUGUACACACCGCCCGUCACACCAUGGAAGCUGGUAGUGCCCGAAGUCAUUACUCCAACCUUUCGGGGGGGAGGAUGCCUAAGGCAGGACUGGUGACUGGGGUGAAGUCGUAACAAGGUAGCCGUACCGGAAGGUGUGGCUGGAUCACCUCCUUU
rnacentral:rRNA from 1 species